rnacentral:rRNA from 1 species
GACGAACGCUGGCGGCGUGCUUAACACAUGCAAGUCGAACGGUAAGGCUCCAGCUUGCUGGGGUACACGAGUGGCGAACGGGUGAGUAACACGUGGGUGACCUGCCCUGCACUUCGGGAUAAGCCUGGGAAACUGGGUCUAAUACCGGAUAGGACCGCACCGUGAGGGUGUGGUGGAAAGUUUUUUCGGUGUGGGAUGGGCCCGCGGCCUAUCAGCUUGUUGGUGGGGUAAUGGCCUACCAAGGCGGCGACGGGUAGCCGGCCUGAGAGGGUGGACGGCCACAUUGGGACUGAGACACGGCCCAGACUCCUACGGGAGGCAGCAGUGGGGAAUAUUGCACAAUGGGCGGAAGCCUGAUGCAGCGACGCCGCGUGGGGGAUGACGGCCUUCGGGUUGUAAACUCCUUUCACCAUCGACGAAGGGUUUCUGACGGUAGAUGGAGAAGAAGCACCGGCUAACUACAUG